UGGGUCUUCCAGGAACAGGUGACUGUAUAUUGAGAUCACAUGACUUGAUACAUUAUUUUUGAAUUAUUUU